GAUCUUGUGAUUACAUGUGAUGAUGCACAUGUGAUGAUGUGGGGUGUAGUAGUGGUUUGUGAGGGGUUGUUAUUUUUUUUUCAAUCCCUUCCCUCUCUCUUUAUCUCAAGUUCAAAUCCUAUUUGCUCCUAUGCUGUUUUAAAAAUGUUACACCUUUAGUGCAUUUUAGUUGGAGUGUGGGCAUGUAGGAGAGGGGUUUUUAAAACCUAUUUUGUUUGGGGUUUUCCUUUUUUGGGGUUUUCCUUUAUUUCAGAUUUAAUUAAAUCUGAUUGGCAAUUAUUUUUAGUUGCCCAAAUAGUCAUUUUGGUAUUUUAUUUAUUUGGGGCAUAAUUCCCUUAUGCCCAGGGAUAUUUUAUCUCUAUUUUUAUGCCCUUAGUUUUUCCUAGGAUUUUAGUUGCAUGUGGUGUUGUUUUAUAUUAGAAAGGGCCAGGUUUUUCCCUCCUUCUCUCCUAGCGCUAUACCAGCCCAACUCCUCCCAGGCCCAAAACCUUUCGCUACAGCAGCCCAGCGCCGUCCCUCUUCCUCCUCGAGACGACGUCAUGGUGUACGACGGCUUCUCCUCCUCCCGAUC
rnacentral:lncRNA from 1 species